GGUGUCAACAGUGGGAUUCUCUAGCGUGACCCUGACUCACUGAAACAUGAUUUGAGAAGAAGAAUGAGAGGGCUGAGGCUGAAGAACCUUUGACUCCUGAAUGACUACCUGGUCACCUAUGGUAUGGAACUACAGGUUUUAUCUACUACAAAGGAUAUCACUUGGGAAGGAAUUUCUUGAAACUGCUCCCAAGAGAGCCAUUGGACCAUGUGGAAUAUUAACACCAUCCAGAAUGCUAUGGGGAGAAGACACAACUGGAAGCUCCAUGUGGACAAACCUCCUGGACUCUGCCCCACAUAUCUCUUCCCUUGGCUGAUUUGAAUUUGUAUCCUUUCACUGUGAUAAACCACAACCAGAUUAUUACAGCUGUCAGCAAGUUCUUCUAUUGAAUUGUUGAAACUGAGGGUGGUCUUGGGAACCCCUGAACUCUACUGUUGGUGUCAGGAGUGAGGGAAGUCUUGUGGACUAGACUCCCUGACCUCACAGGUGCAUUUUCCAACUUUAUUUGGACAUUCCCCA
rnacentral:lncRNA from 1 species